rnacentral:lncRNA from 1 species
AAGGUGAAAAAGAAGAAGAAGAGGAAGAAGUAGAAGAAGAGGAGGAAGAAAAGGAAUCGAAAGAAGAAUCCGAAAGGUACCAAACAUCAGAAGAGGAAGAUGAGUUGUCAACCCUAGGAAGGUAGGAGUCGACCCCACCUCUCCUCAUGAUAGAAGUAGUCAACCCUUGGAACACCACCUCCGGCCGCUUAUAUUCUCCUGACCUUCUGGUAUCAUUUUAUUUCUUGCAUUAUCUUGAAUCAUUUUGAAUACUUAUCUUACAUCAUUUUAAAUCUUACAUUACUAUAUUAUAAUUUAUAUAAUUAAUCCAUGAAUCUAU